UACGUAGGAGGCAAGCGUUGUCCGGAAUCAUUGGGCGUAAAGCGCGUGUAGGCGGCUUGGUAAGUCCGCUGUGAAAGUCCAGGGCUCAACCCUGGAAAGCCGGUGGAAACUGUCAAGCUUGAGUCCGGAAGAGGCGAGUGGAAUUCCUGGUGUAGCGGUGAAAUGCGCAGAUAUCAGGAGGAACACCAAUGGCGAAGGCAGCUCGCUGGGACGGUACUGACGCUGAGACGCGAAAGCGUGGGGAGCAAACAGG
rnacentral:rRNA from 1 species